rnacentral:misc_RNA from 1 species
CCGAGUUUACAACUCCCAAACCCCUGUGAACAUACCUUAUGUUGCCUCGGCGGAUCAGCCCGCGCCCCGUAAAAAGGGACGGCCCGCCGCAGGAACCCUAAACUCUGUUUUUAGUGGAACUUCUGAGUAUAAAAACAAAUAAAUCA